CCUACGGGAGGCAGCAGUGGGGAAUAUUGCACAAUGGACGAAAGUCUGAUGCAGCAACGCCGCGUGGAGGAUGACACAUUUCGGUGCGUAAACUCCUUUUAUAUGAGAAGAUAAUGACGGUAUUAUAUGAAUAAGCACCGGCUAACUCCGUGCCAGCAGCCGCGGUAAUACGGGGGGUGCAAGCGUUACUCGGAAUCACUGGGCGUAAAGAGCAUGUAGGCGGAUUAAUAAGUUUGAAGUGAAAUCCUAUAGCUUAACUAUAGAACUGCUUUGAAAACUGUUAAUCUAGAAUGUGGGAGAGGUAGAUGGAAUUUCUGGUGUAGGGGUAAAAUCCGUAGAGAUCAGAAGGAAUACCGAUUGCGAAGGCGAUCUACUGGAACAUUAUUGACGCUGAGAUGCGAAAGCGUGGGGAGCAAACAGGAUUAGAUACCCUGGUAGUCCACGCCCUAAACGAUGUACACUAGUUGUUGUGAGACUUGAUCUUGCAGUAAUGCAGUUAACACAUUAAGUGUACCGCCUGGGGAGUACGGUCGCAAGAUUAAAACUCAAAUGAAUUGACGG
rnacentral:rRNA from 1 species